GGAUUGGGAUAUUCCGACUCCUUAAGGGCCUGGCGCACAUAAGGUGUGACCUUUUCAUUCCCGUUGUUAUGGAGGUAGGCUCUCUAGGAAUCUGGGAGUAGUAGCUGGGGGGCAAGAGCAAAUAAAGAGCUCGAGCUUCUGUGGUCUCUGGGGAGAUGUUCCCGGGAAGCCUGUCUAGAGGGCGGAGGGCAGCUGUUGAGAUGGCGUGGCUCCCCGGCUCCUGCGCCCGCGUGGCUUUCGCGGCGGGCGCUGCGGCCCGGUAUUGGACAGCCUGGCAGGGCAGCGCGGGGCCGAAUCCGGCUGCCGUGGCUGAGGCUCAUGGAUCACUCUUUUGUGGUAGGGCCACAUCUGCCAGAGCCUGGAGUCUGCGAAGGCCGGGACCCGGUUCCCCGGCCCACAGUGGGGGUGUGCAAACCCGAGAGAACUGGGUUGCAAAUUCGUGAAGAAUCAGCAUCAUGUUUGGCAGCUGAGUAUUGGAGCCAGGAGCCUGCCAUGAGGUUAUAUUCCCAGAGGAUGUCAGUCCCAAGGACCAGUAGCUGCCAUCAGUUUGGAUUCUGAAAACUAACUGGCAUCAACACUGGGUGUAGAAACAUGCUUGCCUUAUGUAUCAGAGGACAUGCUCAGCAGAUCCAAGAGAUAUAUUUGGCAACUUUUUCUAGAAAAGGCACAUUGGGUAUCAUUCAUUACAUUCUUGAGUUUUUUUGGGUUUUUUUUUUUUUUUUUGAGACAGUCUUGCUGUAUUGCCCAGGCUGGAGUGUGGUGGCACAAUCACAGCUCAUUGCAUCCUCAAUCACCCAGGCCUAAGCAAUCCUCCCACCUUGUAGCUGGGACUACAGCUCACAGCACACCUGGCUAAAAUUUUUUUUUUGUUGAGACGGAUUCUCUAUGUUGCCCAGGCUGGUCUCAGGCUCCUGGGCUCAGAUGGUCCUCCUGCCUCAGCUUCCAAAGGCACAGGCCAAGUUGUAGCUUUGUCCCUUGCCAUCAUGCCCAACAAGAGGUUCUAUACCUUUUAAUGAAUUGACUUUCAUAAAUUGGUUAUGUUGGUGGGCAAAGUUCUUUAAGCUGGAAAUUGUAAAUUCCUCCUGAAAUGUUUUUUCAUGCAGUUACCAUGAACUAAUACUACAAUAAAGGAUGGUCUUGGGUGUCAAUUCUUGAAAA
rnacentral:lncRNA from 1 species